GAUGAACGCUGGCGGCGUGCUUAACACAUGCAAGUCGAACGGUGAAGCAGGAGCUUGCUCUUGUGGAUCAGUGGCGAACGGGUAAGUAACACGUGAGCAACCUGCCCCUGACUCUGGGAUAAGCGCUGGAAACGGCGUCUAAUACUGGAUAUGUAAUGUGACCGCAUGGUCUGCAUCUGGAAAGAAUUUCGGCUGGGGAUGGGCUCGCGGCCUAUCAGCUUGUUGGUGGGGUAAUGGCUCACCAAGGCGUCGACGGGUAGCCGGCCUGAGAGGGUGACCGGCCACACUGGGACUGAGACACUGCCCAGACUCCUACGGGAGGCAGCAGUGGGGAAUAUUGCACAAUGGGCGGAAGCCUGAUGCAGCAACGCCGCGUGAGGGAUGACGGCCUCCGGGUUGUAAACCUCUUUUAGCAGGGAAGAAGCGAAAGUGACGGUACCUGCAGAAAAAGCACCGGCUAACUACGUGCCAGCCGCCGCUGUAA
rnacentral:rRNA from 1 species